UUGACUUGCUCCCUGAAGAUAGCACAGCAAUAACAGAUAAAGAUGGACAGAGCCCGCGCCUCACACACGCCACAAGGAGAGAGGAAGAGCGCUCAGCAAAGGGGCCUACGGGGAGAGGAACGUGAUCUGCCAGAGGCCUGCACAGACGAACUGCUGAAGACCAGAAAAAGACAGGCUCCUUCAGGAGGGAGGAAACCGGCCUUCAGACUUGAGCUGCAAUACCAGCUCUUCCCUGGUCUCCAGCCUGCCAGCCUACCCUGCAGAUUUUGGACUUCGUGAACCUGCUAGCCUCCACAAUCACAACCCUGACUACUACAGCUAAGGCAGUUCUUCUUAAAUCAUGGUCUGAGGCGGAGGAAGUUGAGCUGAGAAAGUGAAGCAGCCUUGCUUUUAGUACUCCUAUAAAUUGGAGUCCCAUGUGAUGUCACUCUAGGGGGAGAGAUUCCCCUAGAUUAAAUUUAAGUCUGGAAACCACUGUUCUGGGAA